AUCCUUUUGUAGUUCAUAAGCAUGACGAGUAGGAUUUCAUGGGCCUGUGUGAGAAGUGCCUCCCUCAUAAGCCUCACGUUGGCACAUUACCCAUCUGAUG
ensembl:snoRNA